UAAUGUGAUACCCAAGAGCUUGGGCAUGGC
rnacentral:piRNA from 1 species